UUAAGAUUUCUGAAAAGAAAUUCACUUUACUUUGCAUCUCAAUUCAGCCCAUUAAUUUUAUGCUUCAUGAUCAGCUGUCACUUGCCCUUCUUUCAGCAAUAUAUUCGUUGGGUCUUUACCCAAAAAAAAAGAAGAAUAAUAAUAUUCUCUUCAGGAAAACUAAUCACAAAGACUUUUUCAACUAACCCCACCUUCUUCAAUCUCUUUCUCACCAUAAUUCCUGCAUCACAAUUUCUAUACAGGAUCAGUAGCAGCACAAUGGAAGAAGAAUCUGAAUCUGUGGACCAGUGGCUUGCCCGUGCUCGCCAUCUGGUUCCUAUAGCCAUCGAGAAGUCUAAAUCCACCAAGAAUUUCGCAGGUCGAUGGAGUUUGAUAAUCUCCAAGCUCGAACAGAUCCCACAUUGUCUUUCUGAUCUCUCGUCUCAUCCGUUCUUCACAAAGAAUUCUCUAAGUCGAGAACAGUUGGAAUCGAUCUCCAUUGCUCUUUCAGAAACCAUUUCAUUAGCAGAGCAAUGCUCAUCCAGAGAAAUUUCAGUUGGGAAGCUCCAAAUGCAGAGUGAUCUUGAUUCACUUGCUGCGAAGCUAGAUCUAUGUAUUAAAGAUUGUCGCCUUUUGAUCAAGACUGGAGUCCUCGGUGAAUUGAAUGCGCAAUCAUCGCCCUCCUCUGACUCGAUGAUUUGCAGUGUGCAGGAGUUGCUGGCUAGAGUUCAGAUUGGGAACAGCGAGGCAAAACAUAAGGCUGUUGAUGGGCUACUUGAAGCCUUGAGAGAGGAUGGGAAGAAUGUGAUUGCUUCGCUUGGUCGCAGCAAUAUAAAUGCCCUUGUUCAGUUGCUCACUGCACCUGCUCCUAAGGUUAGAGAGAAGGCUGUUACGAUAAUUUGCUUGCUUGCUGAAUCGGGGAGUUGUGAGAGUCUGUUAAUAUCAGAAGGGGUAAUUGCCCCAUUGAUUCGGUUGAUGGAAUCUGGAAGCUUGGUCGGAAGAGAGAAGUCAGUAGUAACACUGCAGAGGCUAUCGAUGUCUGUUGAAAAUGCACGAUCAAUUUCUGAGCAUGGAGGAAUUCUGCCACUAAUUGAAGUUUGCCAAUUUGGGGAUUCAAUUUCACAGUUAGCGGCGGUUGGAACUCUGAGAAACCUCUCGGUUGUGCCUGAAGUGAGGCAGAGUUUAGCAGAAGAGGGGAUUAUCCGGGUCAUGAUCAAUUUGCUAGAUUCUGGAACUGUGCUCGGGUUGAAAGAAUACGCUGCAGAGUGCUUGCAGAAUUUGACAUCAAGCAGUGACAGUCUAAAGAAAGCCGUGGUUUCUGAAGGAGGAAUUCGCAGUAUCUUGGCUUAUCUCGAUGGCCCAUUGCCUCAAGAGUCUGCAGUUGGUGCAUUGAGAAAUCUUGUUACUGUUGUUUCAACCGAUAGCAUAAUUUCUCUUGGGAUUUUACCUCGAAUUGUGCAUGUUUUAAAGAAUGGAUCUUUGGGUGCUAAACAAGCAGCAGCCUCUGCAAUUUGUAAGAUCUCUAAUUCUAUGGAAAUGAAGAGAUUGGUUGGUGAAUAUGGUUGUUUGCCUUUGCUGUUAAGUUUGCUUGAGGCUAAGUCAACUUUGGCAAGAGAAGUUGCUGCUCAAGCCAUUGCCAGCUUAAUGAGCUGCCCACAUAACCGAAGAGAGGUUAAAAAGGACAAAAGGAGCAUUUCGAAUUUAGUUCAGUUGCUUGAUCCGAGCCCUCAGAAUACAGCGAAGAAGUAUGCAGUUUGUUGCCUUUUGUUUAUGACCUCGAGCAAGAAGUGCAAGAGGAUUAUGAUCUCUUAUGGGGCUGUUGGAUAUCUUAAGAAAUUAUCGGAGAUGGAUGUCCCUGGUGGAAAUAAAUUGCUCGAGAGAUUGGAAAAAGGGACUUUAAGGAGCUUGUUCAGCGUGAAAUAAUUUGAAUUUGCUACUUGCUCACUGCGAUGAUGGUGGAUUGGAGACUUGAGAUCUUGCGCUCAUCCAGUUCAUGAUUUGCUGUAGUAGCAUGAGAAAAGGUUCUGGCAUCUUACAAGAUUAGGUCAUAAAGCUAGGUAUGUGAUCGUCUUUCAAAUAUACCAUCAUUAGAUUUGUUCUUCUAUUUUUGUUGAACUAUAUGUCAUAUGUGCUCUUUACUGUUUUUUGGUUUAUCUGAACAAGUAUAAAGAAUGCGAACCUCUUCAGUAUGUUAAUAUAAUUUGUCACAUAUUCAGAUAUGACAAGAACUAAAUACUAAUAUUAGUAUGAAAACCAUUGUAUACAGUUCUCGUACACUAUGUUGUCUCAUGAAAUUUGGAAUUUUCUCAAAAUGAUUCUUUCCCAAACAGCUGCCCAUGGUUGCCUUAUUCAGGAUAAACAGUUUAGAGAUAAGCAUUACUAGAUCUGGUUAAUUUUUCUUGAGUUUAUAUAUCAAACUAAUAUUUGUGAUAAUCACUAGCAGCUCGAUAACCAUUGUGCUUUCUUAUUUUCAAAAUUUGUAUCUGCUAUCACCAACUCCAGCAACACAAUGCCAACGGUUUGUCUGACAAUAAAAUAAUACAAAAAAAGUUCAAUAAAUGACAAUUCUAAAGUUUACAUAGUUCUGGAAUCUAUAUAAAGCAACACAUGAAUAAAACAGAAUAUGACAACUAUAUUGGUAAAGCCAUAAUAUUUUAGCAGGAAUAAAAUUCAUUAUUCCAUAAUAUAUAUUUAACUUUGAAUGCCUUGAUUCUCUAAAGAAAUGAAAUCUUGGACUUUGAUUAUAUCUGACAGUUUCAACUGUUUGCUUUUUUUGGUAGUUGGAAUCAAAUGGUCGGCUGAUCUUUGAACACUCUUGGACUUUGAUUUCCUUUAUAUUCCACCCUCUUGACAACUGAAAUUUUCUCGAAUGGAUUGAAAAAAGAACAAAAAUUUGCUCUUCUUUUGUUUUUGUCUGUAUAUUUCUUAUUGAAUAUGAUACCUAAUUUCCUUUUUCC